GCUGAUCUAGUGAAGCGAUGAACGCAUAUAAUUGGAUAUAAUGAUAUAAACAUUUGUAGUGGUAUGACUUAGGAUUUUGAGAAUGAUAAAUAGAUGCUUAUUGUUCCACAUUUAAUGACUGCUCGCAGGUAUAAGCUGAAUAAUUUGAAAAGGAUCAAAUAAUAGUAAUGAAACAUUGUACUAAAAAAUUAAUUCUUAAUGUUUUUAAUACACCAUGUUAUAAAAUAUCGAACUAGAUAUGGCUAUUUCUACUGUGACAAUCAACAUAUAUGAUAGUUUAAGAAUUUCCAGGACUUUUUCUAAAUAUUAUUUAGUAGCCAAAACUGGAACUUUGUAAAUUUUGAUUUCAGUUCCAUUUUGUCUAAAGUGGACACUCUCACUACAUCUCAGAACAGGUUCAAAAUAGAAUUCAAAUUUCAGCUUCGGGUGGUUUAAAUCGACCACAAACGAAAAUCCUACAUAAUCUUCAUGACGAGAGAAAAUAAACUACGGCUGUGAAUUAGUUCGUUGUAUGGAAAAUCCUCAAGGAGGGAUGCUACAACUCCUUCAACUGUCAUCAAUAACCGAGUAAAAGCUUUAUCGCAUUUAAAUUGGAUAUCCAAACGAGCUUACAAUGAAAGAAAAAGAUUCAAGCAGAUCCUUUUCUUGCUGUGGAAGAAGAAUAGAUCUUCUACGAGAAUAGAUAUCAAUCUAUCAGAUAAACUACAAGAGCUGAAGUGAGGAACGACUCAAAAUAAUACAAAUUCAUCGAUCAUUCUGGAAUUUUGGAAUCUGAAAAUGUUGAAGAGGAAACACGCUAACCCCUACAUCCUUGCGCCACUAUACUAUAAAUCAUUUUUAUAUCAUGUUUAUAAAAACUAUUAUCGGUGUAUAAAAUUUACAAAUGUGCAAAUAGAUUAAUAGGUGGACUGUCAA